rnacentral:rRNA from 1 species
GACGAACGCUGGCGGCGUGCUUAACACAUGCAAGUCGAACGGAAAGGCCCUGCUUGCAGGGUACUCGAGUGGCGAACGGGUGAGUAACACGUGGGUGAUCUGCCCUGCACUUCGGGAUAAGCCUGGGAAACUGGGUCUAAUACCGGAUAGGAGCCAUUUUUAUUUUGAUGGUUGGAAAGUUUUUUCGGUGUAGGAUGAGCUCGCGGCCUAUCAGCUUGUUGGUGGGGUAAUGGCCUACCAAGGCGGCGACGGGUAGCCGGCCUGAGAGGGUGGACGGCCACAUUGGGACUGAGAUACGGCCCAGACUCCUACGGGAGGCAGCAGUGGGGAAUAUUGCACAAUGGGCGCAAGCCUGAUGCAGCGACGCCGCGUGGGGGAUGACGGCCUUCGGGUUGUAAACUCCUUUCGCUAGGGACGAAGCUUUUUGUGACGGUACCUAGAUAAGAAGCACCGGCUAACUACGUG